UCCUCCUGAGCCCCAGACAGCCCAUGAACUGCCUUGCUGGGAAUGGUAGGAUGGGGUGGACUCUGGAUUGCUCCCUCUGGAUGUGUGUGGGAUGUAGCCUGGAAACUGCAGAGAGCUGAGCCAAGGGAUUGAAAGGGACCAAGCAAGGGAGGUGAAGAAAGAAGGAAGAAGGGAAGUGAGGCAGCAGCCAAGCAGCAGCAAGUUGCUGUGUAAGCAGAAGUUGCACUUGAUGAACUUCCCAUCUGAGCUGAUGCCCUUGGCAGGAGAAGUGCUCAGCAAGGAGGCUCUUUGCUCCUAGGCAGGAAGAAAGGCCAGUGCCCUUCCUCCCCAAGGCCCAGCCCAGCAGGGCUGGCAGGAGCUGCUGGUGUGGCUGCUCUUUGGGUUCUCAGCUGUGGCUGUGGGGUGGUGACAUCGUGUUCCUGCCUGUGCUCCAGGGCAGCCAAAAGCCCCAGCCCAGCCCCUGGGCCUUUUUGGGAGCCUGAGCUAUUGUAGUACUGGGGAUGGGGGUUUGGGUUUUUGUUUCCCUAAAAGUAGAACCAUUGGGGGGGAUCUCUUAUCUCACAGUUGUUGUUGUUUUGAUAUCUUAAUUAAUUACAACUUGAGAAGAAAACCUUGUGUAACUUAGGAACUGACUUGCACUGGUUACACUGAAAGUGCCAAGGAGUUGUAGUGUCCACUGGAUUGUUUGUAUUGAAGCAGUUUGGUGUU